GCCAGCAUGGUAUAGUGGUUUGAGUACUGGACUAUGACUCUGGAGACCAGGGUUCGAGUCACUGCUGGGCA